rnacentral:pre_miRNA from 1 species
AAUAAGUGCAGUUUUACACUAUCACAUUCAACGUUUGACCAUUCAUCUUAUUUAAUUUUUUUUAUGAUUACUAUUUUUAUUGCUAUUAGAUGAUAAAACGUGAAUAGUACUUUAUGUGUGACUAAAUAUUUUCAAAAUUUUCAUAAAUUUUUUAAAUAAGACGGACGAUCAAACGUUGGGCACGAAUAUCUACGGCUGCACUUAUU